UCAAGAAACUUCCACAAUGGGCGAAAGCCUGAUGGAGCGACGUCGCGUGAUGGACGAAGUGCUUCGGCACGUAAACAUCUUUUAUGUGGGAUGAAAUUAUUGACAGUACCACAUGAAUAAGGGGCUCCUAACUCUGUGCCAGCAGGAGCGGUAAUACAGAGGCCCCAAGCGUUAUCCGGAAUCACUGGGCGUAAAGGGUGUCGAGGCGGUUGUAUUAGUCGUUCGUAAAAUCUACGAGCUUAACUUGUAGGCGGCGAACGAAACGGUACGACUUGAGGUUUGGAGAGGUGCGUGGAACUCACGGUGUAGGGGUGAAAUCCGUUGAUAUCGUGGGGAACACCAAAGGCGAAGGCAGCGCACUGGCCAAAAUCUGACGCUCACACACGAAAGCUAGGGUAGCGAAGAGGAUUAGAUACCCCCGUAGUCCCCUGAGCGGGCUGGCAAGGCGCAU
rnacentral:rRNA from 1 species